AUGUUGGUGAAGCUGAUAGAUGGGCGAUGGAAGGUGACGCACUUUGUUCGUGACCAUAAUCAUCCGCUGGUGAACAAACCUUCGUUGUCCAAAUACUUGAGAUCCCACCAAGGCAUCUCACUUGAUGAAAAAGAGAUUUUGCGCAUCUUGUAUAACUGCAACUUGACUACAGGUGAUUACCAUCCAAGUGCCAUGACGGGCCGUGCUACUACAGGUGAUCAAACACAACCUCGUGAUGGUCCUGCCCCGUUGGAGGCUGCAUCCCCAGCACAAGCCUAUGAUGAUUUUGUGCCUAGGGAUCCUCCAAAGUCUACUACAAAGGGUAGGGAGAAGAGUCGAUGA
rnacentral:rRNA from 1 species